GGGCAGGAAUGGUUUCCCAAUCUUGAAGUCUGGCUUCUUAUUUUUCCACUAGUAGCUUACCGGAUCUCUGUAACAGAACACUCGGCUCUUACAGACAGCAGACCAGUCCAGCCAGGUCAAGACCACCAGAGCUAUGUGAUGAUGAAGAAAGUCAUAGGUGAGAGCUGAGUAGCUCACAACAGUUGACCAGAUGUAGCUACUACAUAAAUACAUGGAGAAAGAGCAUGUGGAUAUAUAUGUUAUCCGUAGUACAUUGAAGUGGAGGUUGAAGCAGCAAAGGAAAAUCUUGUCUGGAACUUGGGAGAGCAUCAAGGGAUUGUGGCACACAGACUGCGCCAUCUUUGUUGUACACCACUGAUGGAUGAAGUAGUGGUACUGGAAUGUGUGAUUACACAGAUCCGUGGAAUAAGUGCAGAAGUGGAAAUGUUUGGAGGGAAAGGAGAAGGAGAAAGAUGAGAUAUGAGGUCAAGAGAG
rnacentral:lncRNA from 1 species